rnacentral:lncRNA from 1 species
AAGUGCACCCUAGGGUCAGCUGUUUGGCUCCUCUCUUCUGCUUGCACGAGUGACGACUGUUCCAGUGAUGUAAGCGAGCCCGAUGCCGGGAGGGCCUCUUUUGUAAGCCACCUCUAGGAAUCUGGAUCAAAGAAUACGGCGGCCAUCGUCCUGCGGAGCAAAUUAGUGGCUGCUUCCUUCCUUCUAAUGGAUGCCAAAAGUAAAAAUCCUGCACGCCACAACUGGAAGAUCACAUGUGCGGCAAUGAAGAUCAAAGGUCCUGAAUGCUGCAACCAAGACCCAGUGCAGCCAGAUAAAUGAAUGACUGAAUGAAU